ensembl:misc_RNA Metazoa_SRP Metazoan signal recognition particle RNA
GCUGGGCACUGUGGCUCAUGCCUGUAGUCCCAGCUACUCAGGAGGCUGAGGUAAGAGGAUCCGCUUGAGCCCAGGAGUUCUGGGCUGUAGUGCGCUAUGCCGAUCAGGUGUCUGCACUAAGUUUGGCAUCAGUAUGGUGACCUCCCAGGAGUGGGGGACCACCAGAUUGCCUAAGGAGGGGUGAGCCAGCCCAGGUCAGAAACAGAGCAGGUCAAAACUCCCAUGCUGAUCAGUGGUGGGAUGGCGCCUGUGAAUAGCCACUGCACUCCAGCCUGGGCAACAUAUCGAGAACUUGUCUCCA